rnacentral:rRNA from 1 species
CAGUCGCCGCGGUAAUACGAAGGUCCCGAGCGUUGUUCGGAAUCACUGGGCGUAAAGGGAGCGUAGGCGGCGUGGUAAGUCAGAUGUGAAAUCCCGGGGCUCAACCCCGGAACUGCAUCCGAUACUGCCGUGCUAGAGGAUUGGAGAGGUAGCUGGAAUUCUUGGUGUAGCAGUGAAAUGCGUGGAGAUCAAGAGGAACACUCGUGGCGAAAGCGAGCUACUGGACAAUAUCUGACGCUGAGGCUCGAAGGCCAGGGUAGCGAAAGGGAUUAGAUACCCCAGUAGUCCCUGUCUCUUAUAC